GCUGGGGAGGCGGGGUGCGCGCCCGGCCCCUGCCCGCCGCCCCUCGGCUCCGCUCCGCGCUGUACCGCAGCCACCCGCGCGGUCACCGCCGAGAGAAAGGGAGAGCAGGGCAGGGGGCCGUCUCUGCCCGGAGACCGCGCCGGGCACCCUCCGCGGGGACUGGAGCAGGGACGACCGAGCCUCCAUGGGUGGGGGCGGGGCGUUUUCCAGAAACCGGCCAAAGGCCCCACCCAUCAGGGGUUCCCCUCAAGACCCGGUCCACCCCCCGAAAGACACGGGUUACACAACCUGACAGAUGUCCUCCAGAACAGUUUCUUAGAAGCCCCAGGACUUGAAGGAAUACCAUCUGACACCAAUUCAUCUACUGGUACCAAAUAAAUAAGCAGAAGGUUACUUAGCUGAGCAUAGACCUGAAGGAAGGAGGCUUGGAGGAAUACUCCAUCCAGGUUCUGGGAAAUGUCUGGUCGUGGGCCACUUUUCCCACAAAUUGGCGGAGGAGAAUCCCAAGGGUGCUGAGUGCCUCUUGAAGAUGCAACACCAGCAGUGGCCUCACCCUCUUCCAGGACCUGCAGAAGCCGUCCCAAGAUGAGUGGGGUAAAACCCAGGCAGCUACGGAAGCCACCGUGCUCAUGGAGAAAAACCUGACCCAGGCCCUUUUGGAUCUACAUGUGUUGGGUUCUGCCUUAGUAGACCCCCAUCUCUGUGACUUCCUGGAGAGCCACUUCCUACAGGAGCAGGUGAAACUCAUCAAGAAGAUGGCAACUACCUGACUAACCUCCACAGGCUGGGGGCCCCGAGUCUGGGCUGGACGUGUAUCUCUUCGAAAGGUUCACCCUCAAGCACGACUAGGAACCUCUGGAGCCCAGCAGCCUUUGAGGAGCCCCUCUGGUGUCAGGGCUUCUGCCUGAAGCCUCUCUCUCUGCAGCCACUAGGCUGCUUUUGAACCACCCUGGAGCCCUAACCCAAGCCCUGGACCAAAUGGAAAUAAUAAAGCUUUUUGCAGCAAAUAAUAAUAAUAAUAAUAAUAGUGGCUAGGAGGCUCCUGCUGAGCCAAUCAGAGCAUCAUGUUCCCAAUCAGCCAAUGAGAAGCAAUGAAAUAUAUUCUAGGACUCUCAGUUGUAACACAUUUGCUGCCCUGAGGCGAGAACUAGUUUAAGGACUGAGCCCACACACGAAAAGCAGAACCAGGGGUGUAAGAGAAAUAGGUUUUGGUGACAUUUCUUGAGGUCCUAGAUAAAACUUCAUAGAUAGUGUCAACUGAAAAAAUACACAAUCUAAAAUUUGAGAAUUAUGUUUUAUUCCGUGGACAAAACUGAAGACUUAAGCCCAGGACACAGCAUCUCAUAGAGUCUCUGAGAGACUUCUCCGAAGAGGUAAAGGAGGAGCAAGGAUACACAGGAGUUUUUGCAACAAAGACCAGGUAGUCAGAACAUCAAAAGUUUACUGUUGGGGGACUUUCCUGGUGGUGCCGUGGUUAAGACUUCGCCUGCCAAUGCAGGGGGUUCAGGUUUGAUCCCUGGUCAGGGAGCUAAGAUCCCACAUGCCUCACAGCCAAAAAACCAAAACAAAAAAAACCCCAAAAAACAGAAGCAAUAUCAAAUUCAAUAAAGACUUUAAAAAUGGUCCACAUCAAAAUAAAUAAAUAAAAGAUUACUGUUAAUUAAAGAAAACCAGACAUCUCAAGUUAAGGAAUUUAGCGCUUUUCUGUGUAUGGGAAGAUGCAAGAGUCUGGGCUCACUGAAAUCAUUCCUUUGACAUGAACCUCAGCGAUCUGGCACCAGUAUCCUGUGCUUUCUUUUCCUUUUUCUUUUUUUUUUUUUUUUUUUUUGUUUUACUAAUGGCCUACUUGAGUUGGUUGGGUUUUUUUUUAAUUUUUAUUUUAUAUUGGAGCAUAGUUGAUUAACAACGUUGUGUUAUUUCAGGUGUACGGGUAAGCGAUUCAGUUAUACACGUAUCUAUUGUUUUUCAAACUCCCUGUGGUUUCUCAUCCUGAGUCUCCUCAGGGUGCGCUGUCGGGUGGGGUGGGGGGAUGGCGGCAUCGGCUGACUGCUAGAUGCCAUUCCAUUCAUAUCCUGAGUUCCCUCAGGGCUCACCGUUGGGGCGGCUGUAAUGUAAUGGCUUGAUAGCUGCAACAUCCUUUGUUCACUGACACCGCAGGUGAUAUUUUUUUUUAAGUCGCAGUAGCAAGCCCAAUUUCUGGAUUUUUUUUUUUAAUGAGCCAAUAAAUUCCCCUUUUUGCAUGAGUCAGUUUGGGUUCAGCUUUUCUAUCAUUUGCAACUUAAAGGAUCUUGUAUUGUCUAACUCCCCCAGUAGACUGUACGUUCCAUGCGGGCGGAGACCUUAUCUGUCUCAGUCACCACUGUAUAAGCUGAUAUUGGCACAGUGCCUGGCACAUAGUAAGUGCUCAAAAAUUAUUUGUUGACUUAAAUAAUUUAUUCAGCCCCAACUCUGAUUAGUGUAAAUUACACUACCGAAGAAAAUUAUAGUGUUGAAAAUAGUAUGUAACUAAGGUAAGCUGUAUUCAUUCAGGUACUGGCAGGAAAUUAGGUCCAGAUAUUUUAACUGAGGAGGCUUUAAUGAAGGGAUUAUUUAAAGAGUCCCUUCAUGAAAGGACCACGCAAGAGAAAUUGGGGGCAUCUAGAGCUUGCAACAGUGGGAAUCCAUUACCAUGCCUAGGGCUGAAGGGGACAAGGGAAGGAAAUACUGUCAUUAAAGCUUAGGGAGAGCAGAACUAGGGAGGAAGGGCUGUGGUACAAGAGCUAGAACUGUGGAGGAAAGUUGCCACUGUCAAAACAACAGUGCCCCAGGAGGGAAGAAAUGGUGGAAUUAAUACCCUGACCUCUACUUCCUCCUUGCAACCCUGGCAAAACCUAACCAGAAGUCAGUCUAUAAAGGAGCCUGGGUGACACGAUCCCUAGAGGCAGCCUCCAGGAACAUGGAGAAAGGCAAGAGAAUUGAUCUGUAUGGUCAAAUGGAGAACAACUAGGACAAAUAUAAGAGAAGAUUCUCUUGAGAGAAUAAAGAAAAUAGACCACAGAAAAGAGGAAGGAAGUCAAAUAUGACAGAAACCUUCAAAUCAAGUGUCAGUACUGCUGCACUUCCUUCUUAUGUUUUCUUCUCCUUGUAAUAGGUAUAUAUCCCUCUUCAUUUUUCCCAGUUGACACUUAUUACUGCCCUCAUCUUCCUAACGUUGUCUUUAUGUAUGAGUAUUUUUUAUUGAAGUGUAAUUGACAUACAAUAUCAUAUUAGUUUCAAGUGUACAUCAUAGUGAUUUGAUAUUUACAUACAUUUUGAAAUGGUCAAAUCGAUGUCUGAUUACCAUCUGAGACCAUACAAACUUAAUACAGUGUUAUUGAAUAUAUUCCCUGUGCCGUACAUUGCGUCUCUGUGAUUUAAUAUUUUUAUAAGUCAAAGUUUGUACCUCUUAAUCCUUUUCAUCUGUUUCGGCUGCCCCCCAACACCCUCCCAUCUGGCAACCACUGAGCCAGAUGUUUGUUCUCUAUGAAUCUGGUUUUGUAUUGUUUGUUUUGUUUUUUGGAUUCCACAUAUAUGUGAAAUCAUAUGGUAAUUGUCUUUCUCUAUCUGACUUAUUUCACUAAGCAUAAUAAACUCCAGGUCCAUCCACGUUCUUACAA